AGUGAACGCUGGCGGUAGGCCUAACACAUGCAAGUCGAACGGCAGCACAGUAAGAGCUUGCUCUUACGGGUGGCGAGUGGCGGACGGGUGAGGAAUACAUCGGAAUCUACUUUUUCGUGGGGGAUAACGUAGGGAAACUUACGCUAAUACCGCAUACGACCUACGGGUGAAAGCAGGGGAUCUUCGGACCUUGCGCGAUUGAAUGAGCCGAUGUCGGAUUAGCUAGUUGGCGGGGUAAAGGCCCACCAAGGCGACGAUCCGUAGCUGGUCUGAGAGGAUGAGAAGCCACACGGGAAGUGAGACACAGACGAGACUACUACGGGAGGCAGCAGUGGGGAAUAUUUGACAAUGGGCGCAGGCUUGAUCCAGCCUUUCCGCGGGAGUGAAGAAGGGCUUCUGGUUGUAAAGCCCUUUUGUUGGGAAAGAAAAGCAGCAGGUUGAUACCCCGCUGUUCUGACGGUACCGAAAGAAUAAGAACCGGCUAACUUCAUG
rnacentral:rRNA from 1 species